AGUGAACGCUGGCGGUAGGCCUAACACAUGCAAGUCGAACGGCAGCACAGUAAGAGCUUGCUCUUACGGGUGGCGAGUGGCGGACGGGUGAGGAAUACAUCGGAAUCUACUUUUUCGUGGGGGAUAACGUAGGGAAACUUACGCUAAUACCGCACACGACCUACGGGUGAAAGCAGGGGAUCUUCGGACCUUGCGCGAUUGAAUGAGCCGAUGUCGGAUUAGCUAGUUGGCGGGGUAAAGGCCCACCAAGGCGACGAUCCGUAGCUGGUCUGAGAGGAUGAUCAGCCACACUGGAACUGAGACACGGUCCAGACUCCUACAGGAGGCAGCAGUGGGGAAUAUUGGACAAUGGGCGCAAGCCUGAUCCAGCCAUACCGCGUGGGUGAAGAAGGCCUUCGGGUUGUAAAGCCCUUUUGUUGGGAAAGAAAAGCAGCAGGUUAAUACCCCGCUGUUCUGACGGUACCCAAAGAAUAAGCACCGGCUAACUUCGUG
rnacentral:rRNA from 1 species